rnacentral:rRNA from 1 species
CCCUUAGAUGUCCUGGCCCGCACGCGCGUUACACUGAUGCAUUCAACGAGCUUAUAACCUUGGCCGAGAGGCCUGGGCAAUCUUGUUAACGUGCAUCGUGAUAGGGAUAGAUUAUUGAAAUUAUUAAUCUUGAACGAGGAAUUCCUAGUAAACGCAGAUCAUCAAUCUGCAUUGAUUACGUCCCUGCCCUUUGUACACACCGCCCGUCGCACCUACCGAUUGGAUGGUCCGGUGAAGCCUCGGGAUUGUGGUUCUUGCCGCUUUAUUGUGGCGUGACCGCGAGAACUUGUCUAAACCUUAUCAUCUAGAGGAAGGUGAAGUCGUAACA